UAGUGGAAAAUCUCACUAAGAAUCUUGAUUCCAAUUGCAAUUAGUGGAGAAUCUCACUUAGUAUCUUGAUUCCAACUGUUCUUAGUUGAGAUUCUCACUAAGAAUCUUGAUUCCAAUUGCAAUGAGUGGAGAUUCUCACUUAGAAUCUUGAUUCCAAUUGCAAUUAGUGGAAAAUCUUGAUUCUUGAAGAAUAAUUAUACUAUAUUUAUUUAUUCAAUAAUAAGUACAUUGAAAACAAAAUUAACAAAAGAAAAAAAGAAGAAGAAAGAAAACAAAAAAAAAAUACAAAAAAAAGAAUAUUACCGGCGGCAUGUAUAUAAAUUAAUUAAUUUUAACAAUGCUGGCGGUGCCGCCGCCGGUAAUCACCGGCGGCAUCCUUGUCGCCGGUAUUUCCGCCGCUAUUUUGAAAAACAUGGGUCGUCCCUCUUGCCGUCGGUGGCGGUAUUUUCACGUAUUUUCACGUUUUUUUGUAGUGAUUAUUAUAGUAUCAUAUACAUUUAUAAAUAAUUAUAUUUAUGCUCAAUCGACAAUCAUAUUUAAUGAUAAUCUAAUUUAAAUAUUUUUAAUAAAAAUGAGUUAAUAAAGCAUAAUACUUGAAUAUUGCAGAACGAUUCAUUCAUUUUAACAACAUAAAUAAAUAAUGAAUGUUAUAUACAGAAACAAACAUAAAACACUACAAUAAAUCAUUAAAUACAAGGAAAAAAUAAGAGAGAAAAAAAAGUCACGUAACCGAUGAACAAUAUCCACUACGUGCGCCUGCUGAGUUUUGUUCACACUGCUCCAAAUAUUAGGUGUAGCAGAAGCACCGUUGAAGAAGGGUUUCACUGCAUUCAAAUAUAAAAAAUUGAUAAAUUUAUACUUUAUUAUUACUCCCUCGGUCCUCUAAAUGAUUUAAUAAAAUUUGUCAUGAUUUUGAUGUAGUUGAGAAGGGUCCCACCACUUUAUGAGAUAUGUGGUUGAGAUUGAAUUUGUGGUGGAUUUUUUUUGUAAAUAAAGAGUGUUUGUAAGGAUAAAAGAUUAAAUUGGGUGGUGGAACCAUUUCUUUAAAAGAAAACUAUUACACUCUUUGCGAACGCCCGAUAUUGUAAUUGUGCCCCACUUUUGGCAGAUGGAGGGAGUAUUAUUUUAUUUAGAAGGAUAAAAUGGAAAUAGAGGUGGCAAGAAGGAUGUUCAAUUUUCUUGUCUUUUUAAGUGGAAAAAAUUGCAUUAUAUAAAGAGGUAAUGCAUAGAAAUUUCUAUGUAACCGAUUUCUAAAGGUAUCAUAUUUUUAUAUUUUAAUACGUUUACCACAUAGUCAAAGUCAUAGUUUAAAAAAAGUGUCGGCAAAGAUUGAAUUGAAAUAUAUAAAAUGAAAAAAGAAAACAAUAUCUUGAAUGAACAUUUGUUAUUCGGCUGCUUUGAUUUCUGUGUUGAUUCAACAUUCUAGUACAGUGAGUAGAUAGGUAGAUUUAUCAGUCAAUUUGUAAAGAUAGAUCACCAGAGAGAUCUAAAUAUGUACUCUGUAUUAUUGAUGAUCAUAGUGAUUUUUGCCUUGAGACACUCACGAGUUAUAUUUAUAUAAUCCGUGAAAAAGUAUUUAUGUGUAUUAUUCUUUCCGCUGCAUGUUGGUAUCAAUGUUAUUAACAUUCUGUUGAUCAACAUUCGUACCAACAUUACUAUUUUUUGCACAGUUUUACUUUUUAUUGGUAAUUUGGGGCACUAUACUUUUUCGACGAUCAACUCUACAUUUCACUCAAUUGAAUAUUCUAUUUUCAUGUUUUCUAUCAUUAAAUAAUUUUUUCAUAGCUUUCAUCCAAUUCUAGUCGGCAAAGAUUAAAUAUAUAAAAUGAAAAAAGAAAACCAUAUCUUGAGUGAAAGGCUGUAUACUCUUCUAGUCUUCUGCUUGAACACGCAUCCAAUUCUAUUCCAUAGCUUUCUCUCUCUCACUCAAUUUCUCUCUUUCUCUCCCCUCAAAAAAAAUUCUCUCUUUCUCUCUCUAAGUUAUCG
rnacentral:lncRNA from 1 species